rnacentral:rRNA from 1 species
UACGAAAGGUGCGAGCGUUAAUCGGAAUUACUGGGCGUAAAGCGCGCGUAGGCGGUUAGUUAAGUCGGAUGUGAAAUCCCCGGGCUCAACCUGGGAACUGCAUCCGAUACUGGCUAACUAGAAUGCAGUAGAGGGAAGUGGAAUUUCAGGUGUAGCGGUGAAAUGCGUAGAGAUCUGAAGGAACACCAGUGGCGAAGGCGGCUUCCUGGACUGACAUUGACGCUGAGGUGCGAAAGCGUGGGGAUCAAACAGG